rnacentral:rRNA from 1 species
GAUGAACGCUGGCGGCGUGCUUAACACAUGCAAGUCGAACGGACAGGUCCGGCUCUUGCUCGGUGCUCGUGAGGCGCACGCGGGAGAGAAACGCGAGUAAAACGCACCUGUAUGAGGGGUAUAACCUCGGGAAAGGGGCUCUUAUCCGGUAGGAGCUAUUGCUGCACGGGGUGGGUUGGUAAGUGUCGGUGGUUCGGGCUGUUGUGGAUGGAUGCGAGCCUGAUGAGCUGGUUGGGAGAGUACCGGCUUACGAAGGCUACGAUGGGUAGCCGACCUACGAGGGUGACCGGGCACAUUGGGACUGAGAGAGGGAGCAGACUGCUACGUGAGGCAGAAGUGGGGAAUAUUGCACAAUGGGCGGAAGCCUGAUACAGCAGCGCCGCGUGCGGGAUGACGGCCUUCGGGUGAUAAACCGCUUUCGCCUGUGACAAAGAGGGAGUGACGGUAAUGGGUAAGGAAGCCCCGGCUAACUACGUG